CUUCCUCCAAAAAGCACAGAAGACAAAACAGCUGAACCAGCUCGGUGGUUUACAUCUUUCUCAAAACAAGAUGAAAAAGUUCCUGUUGUUGCUUCUCUUCUGUCACGUUUCAUCUCCAGGGAAACACUCACUCAAGUUUUUCUUAACGGCAUCUUCUGGAGUCCCAAACUUGUCGGAGUUUGUGGGUGUUGCAGUGGUGGAUGAAGUUCUGUUUUGUUACUGUAACUCCAACAGUAAGAUAGUAGAACUAAAACAGGACUGGAUAAAAAAUGCAUUUAAAGACAAUCCUCAGCAGUUGGAGUUGUUCACUAGACAAUGUUUUGAUAAUCUGCCUAACAGAUUCAAAAUCUGGAUGGAUAACUUUAAGCAACGCUUCAACCAAACUGGAGGUGUCCACAUUCUCCAGCUUAUGACUGGCUGUGAGUGGGACGAUGAGACUGGAGAGAUCAAUGGUUUUAUGCAGUUAGGUUAUAAUGGAGAAGACUUCCUAGCAUUGGACCUGAAGACAGAGACAUACAUCGCUGCAAAACCACAGGCUGUCAUCACCAAACUGAGUUGGGAUGCUGACAAAUCUAGAAUGAAACACAAUGAGAUUUUCCUCACUGAGAUGUAUCCUGAAUAUCUGAAGAUGUAUUUGGACUAUGGGAAGAGCUCUCUGCUGAGAAAAGAUCUUCCCUCAGUGUCUCUCCUCCAGAAGUCUCCCUCCUCUCCAGUCAGCUGCCACGCUACAGGUUUCUACCCUGACAGAGCCAUGAUGUUCUGGAGGAAAGAUGGAGAGGAGCUUCAUGAGGACGUGGACCUCGGAGAGAUCCUCCCCAACCACGAUGGAUCCUUCCAGAUGAGUGUUGACCUGAACCUUUCAUCAGUCCCAGUUGAAGACUGGAGGAGGUACGACUGUGUGUUUCAUCUCUCUGGUGUGGAGGACGACAUCAUCACCAAACUGGACAAAGCAGAGAUCAGGACCAACAGAGAGAAUCCUUCAGACAGGACUGUUCCCAUUACUGCUGCAGUGGCUGUUCUUGCUGUCGUCCUCGCCGCUGUCACUGGAUUCAUUUUUUACAAAAACAAGAAAGCCAAACUCCCUCCACAAUCUCCUGACAACAGCUCUGAGCUCUCUGAGAAACUGAAUCCAGAGACCUGAUUUACAAACACAUCCUGCACUGGUAAAGCAGUAAACUCUUCACAUCUCCAGUUAAACAACACCUGAAAUGAUAAGCUUCUACAACAAACCUUUAUAUUAAAGACCCUAAAAACUUGCUUUUAUUAGGAGUUGACAAAAUGUCGAGUUUGUCGCUAUGUGGAAUUGAAAAUCUUCAUGGUGAAGGAUAUGUUUGUGUGUGUGAUUAAUAUCCUUUCUGUAUUAUAGGUUUGUAUUCUCAAACAUUCAGUUCAUAUACUCACUAUAUAACUAUAUAACUCUAUUUGUACUCUAUCUAGAUAUGCAUAUGGUUUGGGUCUUAUAGAUAAACUACUGUAACAUGUAUGGAACCAUCCCAAUGAAGUAGUGGUAAAUAAAAUGUCCUCUCUGGUGUUUGACAA